AAUGAACGUUGGCGGCGUGGAUUAGGCAUGCAAGUCGAGCGAGAAGUCCUUCGGACGGACAGCGGCGAAAGGGAGAGGAAUACGUAGAAUCUACCCCUCGAGACCGGGAUAGCGUCGGGAAACUGGCAGUAAUACCGGAUAAUGUCUUAGGACCAAAGGUGUGAUUCCACUUGGGGAUGAGUCUACGCCCUAUUAGCUAGUUGGUGGGGUAAUGGCCUACCAAGGCGAUGAUGGGUAGCGGGUGUGAGAGCAUGAUCCGCCUCACUGGGACUGAGAACUGCCCAGACACCUACGGGUGGCUGCAGUCGAGAAUCUUUGUCAAUGGACGAAAGUCUGAACAAGCGACGCCGCGUGCGGGAUGAAGGCCUUCGGUUGU
rnacentral:rRNA from 1 species